GUCCGGGUAGUGCAAGUAGUUAACACACUUGGCUGUUAACCGAAAGACUGGAGGUUCGAGUCCACCCACAGGCU
rnacentral:tRNA from 1 species